GUCAAUUUUACCCAAUUUUGUGCAAAUUAAAAGCAUUAAGAGCAUGCAGAUACAGAGAAAUUAAGGCUAAAAAAUACAUUUGAGAGUUUACAAAACUGCAGGAUGGAUCUCGCGAGAUUUUAUACAGCAAUACCCAUCCCCCACCCCUCUUUGAAUCUCGCGGGCGCCAUGAUGACCAUAGAUAUACAUAUCUAUGAUGAUGACACUCACUGCCAUUUUGCUGCAAUUUUCCGGAGGAGACUUUCACUGUCAGUGUAUUCAAGUUUCACACUGUGCCCUUCAUAUGGGACCAUACAGACAAAGUGUUUCUGUUUGCUGUGGAAACGAGAAAUUGGAAAGAUGAAUAUCAGAAUGUCAGAAGAAACUUGAAAAAAAUGCCCUAACAAACAAAAUAACAAGAAGAGAGGCAGAAAAGGCUGUGUCAAAGUGGCUAAUUGUUGCCGGGAAAUAGGAGGGAAUCGCACUGCAAGGGCACAUGUUGGAGAACAAAUGGGGGCCGUUGGGACAGCGACAACAUAGGAGUGAGGAGCUGCAGUAAUGUUGUCUUGUUUGUAAAAACCUUUAUUUUAGAUUUUUCUGAUAUGCAUAUAUAAAAACAAGUUUUUCCAAAUAAAGUUUUACAAGAGUGAAUUAAAGCGUUAGUCCAUCAAAAAAUGAAAAAUCUGUAAUUAAUUACUUUUCCUCAUGUCUUUCCACACAAGGCAAAACCUUGGAAUGACAUGAGGGUAACUAAUUAAUGAGAGAAAUUUAAAUUUUGGAUAAACAUAACCCUGUAAAUGUAACUUUUUUUCCUUUCUUUAGUUGUGUUUUAUAAAGUUUUAAAUGUACAAGUCCUAAUAGUCAUGUUCAAAUUAUUAAUAAACUGCAUAAUGAAGUAAAUCAUGAACUGCUGUUUUCUGUUUAUUGAAUACCUUUAACAUUUUAUUGAAGUUUAAUGCUUGGAAGUUUUGUAUUUAGGGGUUUACUGUAAAAUAAGGUAACCCAAACCAACAAAUAUUGUAGCCCAUAAAUAUACCAGUUGUAACCCAUAAGUGCCCUAAAUAAGUCCUAUCUGGGCCCCAUCAUUAACCCAUGUGGGUAGUCUCAUGUGGGUCCCAUAUGGGAUCUACCUGGUCUACCCAUGUGGGCCCAAUAAGGGGCCCAUCAAGAGCCCAUCUUCAACCCAUGUGGGCAAACCCAUGUGGGGCCACCAUGGAAC